CCUACGGGGGGCAGCAGUGAGGAAUAUUGGUCAAUGGGCGGGAGCCUGAACCAGCCAAGUCGCGUGAGGGACGACGGUCCUAUGGAUUGUAAACCUCUUUUGUCGGGGAACAAAGGCGCCCACGGGUGGGCGGAUGAGUGUACCCGAAGAAAAAGCAUCGGCUAACUCCGUGCUAGCAGCCGCGGUAAUACGGAAGGUCCGGGCGUUAUCCGGAUUUAUUGGGUUUAAAGGGAGCGUAGGCCGGAUGGCAAGCGUGCUGUGAAAUGUCCGGGCUCAACCCGGGCCUUGCAGGGGGGACUGGCGUGCUUGAGUCAGCGGGAGGCAGGCGGAAUUCGACGUGUAGCGGUGAAAUGCUUAGAUAUGACGAAGAACCCCGAUUGCGAAGGCAGCUUGCUGGAGCGGAACUGACGCUGAUGCUCGAAAGCGCGGGUAUCGAACAGGAUUAGAUACCCCAGUAGUC
rnacentral:rRNA from 1 species